CCCUUAGACGUUCUGGGCCGCACGCGCGCUACACUGACCAGUGCAACAAGCAUCCGUCCUUGGCCGACAGGCCCGGGCAAUCUUUGAACGCUGGUCGUGAUGGGGAUAGACUUUUGCAAUUUUUGGUCUUCAACGAGGAAUUCCUAGUAAACGCAAGUCAUCAACUUGCAUUGAUUACGUCCCUGCCCUUUGUACACACCGCCCGUCGCUCCUACCGAUUGGGUGUGCUGGUGAAAUGUUCGGAUCGGCCGUUUGUCGCGGUUUCCGCGGCUCGUGGCUGAGAAGUUCAUUAAACCCUCCCACCUAGAGGAAGGAGAAGUCGUAACA
rnacentral:rRNA from 1 species